UCCUGUAAGAUUUAUGCUACUGCACAAACAUCCAAUGCCAGGUUCAAAAUUGAGACACCCCCAGAGCUUAUCAAGAAUUAAAAGGUAAAGGGGGGUGGCGUAAGAAAAAAAGGAAUAGUGUGUGAUGCUAGUUGUAAUUGGCCAAAUUAAAAUCAACGUCAACAACUUCCACUUCAUAAACAAAUUACAAUACAAAAACAAUUAAAUAAAAAAAUAUUAAAAAAGAGAAAAACUAACAAUAUGCACAUAUAAAACAAGCAUUAACAGCCAAAAAUGGGGCCAAGGGCAUUAAACUCUGAGAGGGUCCAGGCGGCUCCACUGCAUUCACAUGCAUUAGCUUCAAAAAACAAGACCAUACCCAUCAGUGACUUCACUCAUAAAGAAACCUCUUUCUUGUCCCUCCCCAGGGUGCACCCCUAAAACAAUUCCCUUGAUCCCCACAGAAUUAUUAUACAACACAAAAUUACAAUGUUAUUAUAAAAAGAUUUACUAAUCUCAGGUGGUAAUUUUAUAAUCAAAUAUUUAUAAUAAAUAACUAUUUAUAUAACACAGUACUAAGUUUCAAAAAGACAAAUAGGAAUAAUAUCUAAGAUAUGAUAAUAAAUAAGAAUAAUGGUUUAGUAGACCAAACCUCAAAACAAAUUCAUUUGUGCCUCAAAAAUCUCUAGCGCAAAACUAAAAUUUACACCACAGUUUAUAAUUUUGUACUCAAAUGCCAGGAUUUAGCAAAUCCUCGUAUUAUAUUCACAUUCCAUCUUCAGCCGCACAGGACUGAUAAAAGUUCACCAGAUAACCAGCAAAUAAAUAUAAAAAUAUGAUAAAAUAUUUAUCAUUAAAAAAAAAUAUUACAUAUAUAUAAAAGUGAUUGCAUUUCACAACACAAAACCUUCAUUUACCACACAAAAGACAUUAUUAAACAGCGACGUUAUCAGAAUUAUAAAUUAUAAAUUCAAUUUACAAAGUGCGUAAAAAGAAAAUUUAUUUGCUGUGGUGUACCCUGAAAGGCUCAAAAUUUUAUAACAAAAAAAGUUUAUGCGAAAAUAACACCAUUAAAUAGAUAUCAGACGCGCCGUCGAAAACUCCCCAAAUGGGAAAAACAACAAAUACCUCGUCCAAUAAGCGACGAUCGAAAACCCUAAGGGAAACAAGUCUACAAGAAAAUAUAUUAAAUGAUUACGACGAAUAUUCCCAACACAAAAAGCAAAAAAAGGACGUCCAACACUUACAGUCAGGGGGUGGCAACUCUAAUAGGCCAUUAUGUACCCAGAUACUAUUUUUAAUCUGCACAACAGAUAGCGCUAGUAGAUUGACCUAGUUCUUUUGUAAAUUCAUAGGUAGCGAUAGUGUUCAUAAUCAAAUGUCAAUUGAAUGUUUAUAAGAAACUAAAUUUAUGCAAUAAAUACUAAUAAUGCAAUAAAUAUAGUGUAAUAUUAAUUUAUUUUGAUUUCAAAAACAGUUGAUUUGUAAAAAUUGUUUUUUUUUUGCAGUAAUAUUCGUUUACAGAUUGAUUUGAGCAUUAUAGUCGCUCUUUUUUUUUUCGGUUUGUAGUAGAUUUUGGUCGAGUGAAAGAUGGAUUUUACAAUGGAGUUUGAUUUAUCAUUUUGAAUUAUUUUCCUAUAUGAUUGUGAAUUAAGAAUCCGAUGAAGAUGCCUGUGAAUACACAUCAAUGUUUUGUGUCUUCGUGCAGGAACAGUAUUACUGUUAAUCCUGAUGUGACAACAUUCAGAUUUCCAUGAAGCCGAAGCAAGUUAUUGAAGUGGAUUGCUGCAAUUGGCUAUGACCUUGAUGCCAGUAAUGCUGAAACAUUUAAAACUAAAUAUGUAUGUUCCGAACAUUUUGAUAUUGGAGCUUUCACUACAUGUGACUGCAUCAAAUUGAAUCGUGGUGCUGCUACAACAUAUUUUAAUUCUGUGGACAGUGAAGUAUGGAUCUAUUGUUAUAAUUUAUUAUGUCUAGAAUGCUGCCAAAUAUAGGUGAAAUGUUUAUGUUACAUAACAUAACUUGUAAGAUCUACUUCUGCAGAUAUAUAUUUUCACCUGCCUCUAAGGUCCUUUGUUAUUCACAGGUAGCAUUUACAUGUGAUGAAGCAGUAUUUAACAUUAUUGGUCAACAUGCAGUCCAUCAUUACAACCUUUGUACAGGCGCAUACAAACAUAUAUGUGUGGGGUAUUUCACACUUUUUAUUUGAUGUUAAAGAUUGGUAUGGUGACCGGGAUACUUUUUUUUAUUAAACCUCCUACACAGUUCUCUACUGUUUCCCUUAUCUGUUGCCUUAACAUUUUUUUCCGAUCAGUCCAAUUCCUUGAAUCACAUUGCAAAAAAAGUCACAAUACAUGGGAUUGGGCCACUCUCUUCAAAGAAUUGUAAUUCGAGUUUAAACAUAGCAAGGCUGACCAUAAAUUGUAGAGGAAAAUUUAAAAUGUUGAUCUUCAACAUAUUUAUAACCUAUGCUCAUGUGAUGUAUAUACAGCUAGUUAGAAAGUAAGUUGUAGUAUAGUAUGCAAUUGAACCUUCAAUAAGUUCUACAUCCACACUUAAAAACUUAUUUUACUUGAUGUUUUAUGUUCAAUAACUAUUCAGUAUAAAGGUUUUUUUUUACAUUAUAAACUACAAAAGUAUUCCGAUUUGUAAAUGUAAUGAAAUUCCACUGAGCCCUCUACCUUUUUUUUAACUACCAUUUCUGCCGUGUGGCCUUUUUUUUCUUACUUUUGUGUUCAUUAUAAGUUACAACCACUCAUUUGAUUUAUUGUGUUAAAUUAAAUGAUAUUUAAAAUUGGAUGUCACUUCAUAAGAACAUUCAGGAUUACCUGUAUUCACAGCGCACAAUUAUACAAAAGUUUUUUAUGUAUGUAAAAGUGUUUUACGUAAGCCAGUGGACACAUACAUGUAUUGAGUAACAUGAGAAAAUUGAAAUAUCUAAAAUAAAAUUAAAAGGUUACAAGCUUUUAUAUACAUGCAGCUCCCAAAAAAGUCUGCAUACUAAAAAAUAACACAUGCUUUUAAAUGAAUUCUUACCAUCUUAUAAACUAGUAGUAUUUUGUUAUUUGAUUUCAAAUGAAUUGUUUUUGGUUAAUUUAUUUGACUGUAGGGAUUAAAUAUCAUUUGUAGAAUAAAGUGUGAAAAGUAGUAUUGAUCAAUUUAACUGUAAGUACUAAAUAUGUGUUACAUUUCUUGUAAGUUAAAAUUGUUCAGGUAUUAUAAAUUAGCUGAAAAAAGCAAACUCAUGACUAGAAUAAAUUGUACUGUUAGGUAUGUUUCGAAGAAAGACUACCUGUUGCAGUCGUUACCAUGUGUAUGUACCACAUUUUUAUUGUCAUUAUAACUGCCAUAAUUUUGUACAAAUAAAUCACUUAAUACAUAAAA